rnacentral:rRNA from 1 species
CCCUUAGUUAUCCUAGGUCGCACGCGCCAUACAAUGUGGCGCACAACGAGUCUCCUUGGCCGACAGGAUGUCCCGCGAGCGAUCGGCGACGCAGCCAGCUCGGUCUUCGGGCAGACUCGGUGAGAGUGGCCCGUCCUCCUGAGAGGGCGAUCGUCGAUGCCUCGGGAUUCUGGGCAAUCUGGCAGAGCGCUACGUGACUGGGCUAGACUUUUGUAAUUUUUGGUCUUGAACGAGGAAUGCCUAGUAAUCGCAGGUCAGCAUCCUGCGAUGAUUCGGUCCCUGCCCGUUGUACACACCGCCCGUCGCUCCAUCCGUGGCAUGCGCCGGUGAAGAGGGGGAGGCAGCGUCGGCCGUGUAACAGCGGAUCGUACGUGGAACCCCUCUGAACCUUCGCACGUAGAGGAAGGAGAAGUCGUAACA